GUAUAGGUUUAAUGACUGUGACUAGCACAAUCGUUAAAAGACAUUCUGUAACUUUAUAGUGUAUGUAAAACGUAGCCUCGAAGAAAGCAAGCAGGGGCAUUCAUAAAAUGAAAAGCCCCCAAACCGCAUUGCUGCGAGAGGUUCACUUUGCUUCAAAGAACUACAAAAGGUGCACAAGAGAAGAUAAAUAGACGGAGACGAGCACAUGCUCAGUGAAGAGCCAGCAUCAAGAAUCCAAUCGUAUUCAAUAAUGAUCCUUCCGCAGGUUCACCUACGGAAA
rnacentral:misc_RNA from 1 species